rnacentral:tRNA from 1 species
GGUAGCGUGGCCGAGUGGUCUAUAGCGCUGGGUUUAGGCACCAGUCAUUUCGAUGACGUGGGUUCGAAUCCCACCGCUGCCA